ensembl:misc_RNA 7SK 7SK RNA
GGAUGUGAAGGCAAUCUGGCUGCAACAUCUGUCACCCCAGCAUUGCCAGGUUGAUUGGGCUGAUCUGGCUGGCCAGGCGGGUGUCCUUUCCCUCCCUCACUGCCCCGUCUGUGUCCCUCCCGAAGCUACAUGCUUGGUUGAAGAGGACGACCUUCCCUGAUAGAGAAGGACUAUUCUUCAUUCACAGGUAUAUACAUAGCUGCACUCCCUGCUAGAAGCUCCAAACCAUCUCUCAAGAUGUGGUGUUUUGUUAGCACAGCAAAGCCUAACCUGUCCUAAUACCUGGGCUGAAGGGAAAGCUC